AGGAAAGUAAGCUAUAGUAAGCUGUCGGGUUCAUACCCCGAAAAAAAUCCUAGUGGUUCUUUCUUA
rnacentral:tRNA from 1 species